CAAAUUUCCAAGCAGCCUGCUCAGCCAGCGUUUUGGAGAGUUGAUACCACUCCUUUCUUUCCUCGCAGAAUUCAGGAUCUGAAUACCAAGUCUCAUCAGCCACAGCACCAGGGGUUGACAUAUUUUUAUUGCAUAUAACAGAAGCAGUAGAAGAAGUUAUCACAACUCUUCUGACAGAUGGUGAUUUGGCACAUGAACGAAGGACAUUUAACGUUCCUUUCACAGCAGGAUCCACAAGUUCCUCCUUAGAUUUCCCUGUGAGAAAAACAGGUGAAGCUGUAUGAAAGACACCUUCACAACCAUCAACAGCAGGAUCAAACGAUUGCUCUUCAAGUAACUCUGCUUCGAAUAGAUGCAGCCUCUCAUUCGCUCCAUCAAGGCCUAGCAAGUGAUCCACUUUACUUGUAUCCUUGAGAUUCCGAACAGUGGCGUUGACAGUAUAUCCACGUUGUAGCAACAACUUGACCAGCCAUGAAGCUAUGUAACCAGAUGCCCCUGUUACACAUACUACCUUUCCUUCUCCAAUAUUCUUACUUUCCAUAGCCAGAUAUUAUUCAAAAACAAUACAGAGA
rnacentral:misc_RNA from 1 species